UGCCCUCCUUCCCAAGUCCCUAGCCCUGCCCUCCUAGCCUGGGCUCGCAGCGCCUUCCGCUGCAGGAGGCUCGGGGUUCCCCUUCCCCGCCGUCGGGGAUCCUUGUCGAAGCCCCGGGGGGGCCGCAGCUGCCCGCCGGUGCGACAGCCAGGGCCCAGCGCUCCGGGCUCACGGUCCCCCCUGGUGCUCCUCGCCCAGCCUUCCUUCUGCGCCCUCGGAGCCCGGGUCCUCCGGGCGUUGGGUCCGCGUUUGGGAAGACCCCCUCCCCCCAAACCCCGUGAAGCCGGGGCUGAUUCCCUGAGGUCAGGGGAGGGAGCAGGAGGAGAGCCCGGGGCGGGGGCGGGGGGAUGUAAGGACCUGGGGGACUCGCAGCGUGUGAAGGGGCGGGGUGUCGAGGGAGAGGCGCGCAGAAGGUGCUCGGCGAACCUCGGGAGGCAGCCCCCUGGGUCCUCUCCGCCCCGGCCCUCUCCAGCCCCCCGCGCGCAGCGGCAGCCCCGGCUCCCGGCCCAGCUCCCCGCCCAGCGGCUUCCAGCAGCAACAGUUGCGGGGCCCGCGGCCCAGACUCCCGCGUCCCCGCGCCGCCCCCUGCCCCGCGGCGCCGCCCCCCCCCAAGAGGAGCCGGAGGGCUCGGCGACCCGGGAGGCGAACGUCUUGGGCGCCUCGCCCGCGUCCUUCCCUCGCGUCCGCCGCGCGCCCGUCACCUCGGCCUCCCGGCCUCGCCUCCUCUCCGCCCGCCCGGGUCCGAGUCCCAGGCCAGGUCCCCGGGGGUCGCGGGGCCCCGGCCGCCCCCUCCUCGGGCUCCCCCGCCGGCCAGACCGCCCCCGGGACUCCCGCGUCUGCCUCCGCCGUCCUUGCCCGCGCGGCGCCCGAGCCCAGCCCCAAGUUGGCGGCGAAGUUGGCGUCCCCGGCCCGCCGCCCCCGCCCGCCGCCCGCCGCCCGCCACUCACCGGGGGGAAGGGGCGCUGCGCCCGCGCCGAGAGCCCGCGCCGGCCGCCUCCCGCGCGCCGCAUGUCCCGGCGCCUCGGCCCCGCGCUGGCGCGCUCCGUCCUAGCUCGGCGGGCACCGGAGCCCGGGCCACGCGGGGCCCGUGUCCGUGGCGCGGCCUGGCGGCAGGGAGGGCCCCCGGCCCCGGCCCCCGCCCCCUGCGCCCGCGCCCUCCCGGGGCCCGCUGGGCGCCCGGCUCCGGCUCCGUCCGGGGCUGGGCAGCGCGCCGCGCCUCCGGCUCCCAGGGCUCGCCAGCCGGCUGUGCGGAGCGCUCGGCGCCGCCCGCGCGGCCCGCCCCACCGGGGCCCGCCGCCUCCGCCCCGCCCCGCCCCGGCCCGCCCCGCCGCCCGCUGCCCGCCGCUCCAGGCCCCUCCUAGGCCGGCCGGCGCGGACGCCUGGGUCCCCUCUCCCCCCCAGGGCCGCGUCCCCGGACCCACGCUGGGGCCAGGUGCGGCCUCGGAGAGACCAACUGCCUGCUUGGAGCCCCGGGUUCGAGCCCACAGCUCGCCAGCUGGGUGA
rnacentral:lncRNA from 1 species